UUUGCUAUGGAUUGAAUUCCUUUUCUUUAAAUACAUGCUAGAUAAGCCCACAUCAAGCCAAUAAAUGAAGAUCCUGAUAGGAAUUGGCUUGUGAUUUUAUCUGAAAGGAUUCAGAAUCCUGAACACAAAGGGCUGAUUUAUUGGAUGAAAAACUGAUGCAAAGAGUUAGAGAAAUACAAGAUCUAAGAGAAAGGCUCAGAAGAAGGAACCAAGAAAGGAAAACAAAAGAACAAAAAUUAAAAGGAAAAUCCCUCUUCAGCAAAGCUCUUCAUAACCCAUCGAGGGAGGUCGCGUCCGGAGAGGAAGAGAUUGAAGUCGUGUAGAUUGGCUCCAAAGACAGCAAGGGUGAAGGCAAAGGUUAUCCAGCUUCUGGGAAUUUCAAUAAGUUUGGGAUUGCCCGCAUUAUCGACAAGAUGCUUGACGUUGGUAAUUGCAGGAGAGAGGCGCCAAGUAACUGGAUUGUUGUUAAGCUUUAGUACUUGGAAGAUCUCCUGGCAGCUCGUGAAAAUGUAGCGAAUGCUCAAGCGUUUGUCAGUGGCUACCCGUAAGGCAGCAUCCAAGGCUUGAAUCUCAGCAGCAGCACAUGACUCAACAGUGGAAACACAGCAGCCUGCAAUAGAUAUAUUAUAGAGUAGUUAACAUUUGAGAUAAAAA